rnacentral:lncRNA from 1 species
UUAUAGGUAGUUUUCAGUAUAUAGUUAAUAGCACAGCUCUUUAUUAUCUUUUCAGAUACCCUCAAUUAUCUUACUCUCCUCGCUCUUUUGGUGUUUAUCUCUCUCCCCUCUAGUUAAAGCCUUCCCACAUUCACACAUCAGCGUCCCUCUUUACUUUCCUAGUUUUUAUAUACUCUCUUCAGAAGAUUUGGACCUAGGAACAUCAGAUGAGAGGAAACAUGUAAUAUUUGCUUCUCUUUUCCUGGGAUACCUCACUCAAUAUGUUCAUUCUUUCCUAGAUUUUUAUAGUACCAUUUCUUUCUUUGUAGCUGAGUAGUAUUUCAUUGUAUUAGUCAGAGUUGUCUAGAGGAAAAGAACUUAUAUAAUGAAUCUCUAGAUAGUAGAUAGAUAGAUAGAUAGAUAGAUAGAUAGAUAGAUAGAUAGAUAGAUAGAUAGAUAAAAGGAAUUUAUUGUAAUGCCAUACAGCCCGAGAUCAGCUACUCAAACAAUGUCUGGCUGUGAAUACAGGAAUUGCUCAGUCCACAAUGAUAGAUGCCUCAGCUGGCCUUCAGAAUAUGCUAGAACCCCAAAGAAGUGGGCUCUGAUGCUGAUGAGCGAAUGUAUGUGCUAGAAGGUAAGAGCAAGCAGGAGGUGUGGCCCACAUUAAAGGUGUGUCUUCCAAGCUCAAGAUCUGAAUCAAAAAUGUGUGUCUUCCUACCUCAAGGCCCAGACUGGAAGUGGAUUCACCCACUCCAAACUUAGUUUAAAAAAAAAUCUCUCUCAGGUGUUCCCUCCAUUUCUGAAUUGUAGUUCAUUCCAGAUGAGUCACGUGGACAACCACUAAUGGCCAUUACACCUAUUGUGUAUAUGUCCUACAUUUUUAUGAUCUAUCAAGUGCCUGAGUGAUGCCCAAGGAAACACAAACAUAAUGCUGAUGGAAAUGAUGAGGACAAUCCAGGGUUUUAAAAUAGAAUUCAAUAAAGAGAUAGAGUCAUAUACCUCUUAAUCACAAUACUUAGAACUGUCCAAAUUACUGAAACUUUUAUAUAAAUGAUGUUAUUAAUACAAGCAAAUCUUUAGGCUUAAACACUUUUCUAUUUUGGAUUUGAUCGCCUUUUUGGAGAAAUAGAUUCUUGGAACUAAGGUUGCUGGUAGAAAGUAUGAAUGGUUUUUGUUUGAUUGACUGAUUGUUUUUUACAUGAAACCACAUUAGUCUUGAGGUCCUGGGGUCAUUGCCACCUCUGUGCUGCCGAUUAGCCCCACAGCCAUCCUGUUCCCUGUGCACUUACCUGCUGUGCUGAAACACCGCAACCUAAAGCAGCUAGAGAGGAAACAUGAGAUCUGGCUUACCCUUCCACAUCACUUUUCAUCCCUGAAGGAUGUCAGGUUAGGAACUUAAACAUGGCAGGAACCUGGAGGCAGAAGCUGGAGCAGAGGCUGUGGAGGGGUGCGGCUUAUUGGCUUGCUCAGCCUGCUGUCUUAUAGAAUCCAAGACCACCAGCCUAGGGAUGGCACCGUCCACAGUGGGCGGAGCCUUUGUCCAUCAAUCAUUAAUUAAGAAAAUGUCGCCACAGGCUUGCCUAUGUUCACAUGUUAUGGGGGCAUUUUCUAAGCUGAAGUUUCCUCUUCUCAGAUGACUAUGGCUCAUGUCAAGUUGACAUAAAUCUAGCCAUUGUACCUGGGGUGUCUGUAUUAGUAACUCAGAACUUUUCAGCUUAGAACACAUACUUACUGUAUGUUUUGGGGUGUGGGUCAGGAGCAUUUUUUGGGGGGUGUCUAUGGCUUGAGGUCUGUUUCAAACUCCUGGGAGGGAAGAGCUGCUGGCACAGAAGAUUUGAUAUUUAAAUAAUUCAAUUCUUGGUGCCUUGAGAAUAUAAAGUAGUGCAACAGGCCUGGGUAGUGAAGUGCACACACUCAUAUAACUUUCUUCCCAAAUGUCUUAAACUGCUAGAAAAUACGACAGCAUCCGUACUCAGAAAGCAACCACCUUACAUCUGAAAUUGGUGAUGUCAUAGGCCAGAACAGGCAGGAAAAAACUAUUGAUUGUGUAAAGUGUAAGCGAAGACUCUUGACCUCCGAGUAAACAGAAGAAUGUAUUCUAAAAGCAGGAAGCUGCCUUUCUGGACACAUAGCCAGCCUGGCCACUCCCCGUGCCACCUAAAGCUUAAAGCAACAUUUGUCUGCAAGAUAAAACUGAGAACUGUAACGUAGAGAAUGGGCCAUUGGCCGGAUAACGGCUCAUGUAGAACUGAGAGGAAGCAGGACAGGGCUUAGGCUCAUGUCAGACCUUAACCACAGGUGCGGCAAAACAUAAAUUAACAGCUUUUCCUCAGUGGAGUGGAAAAUGAAGUAUUCUCACUGCACAGUUCAGCUGGCUUUCUACACGCCAGAAUUCUGGAAAGCUCAGCCCUGUAGCCUGCCUUAGCCCUUUCAGGAUAGAGCGCUUGCCCAUCCAAAAGGGGAAGUGGUGGGGAAGUUUGUCUGGAGUGUGGCAGAUGCCACCCAGGGCUGAGUGCAUUGCAUGGACAGCCUUUUAUUUGAUCCCGAGUAUCAGUAGACAGCCAGCCAUGCUCAGACAGGAAGGGGCAGCAGGGCAUGUGAACUGAAAAAUUACAGAGAAAACGGUAAUUUAGGGACCACAGGGGAACUUGCAAGAACUGUAAUUGGAAGCUUGGAAAGGGGAUUCGUUUUAUCUUACUUUUUAUUCUAAAAUAAAAGUAAGUCCACAGGAAGUUGUAAAAACAAUAUAGUAAUCUUUCACCCACUCUUCUGGGAAUGUAUACUUCAUAACUAUCGGACAAAGUUAAACUCAGAAAAUUGACAUGUAACACAUGUCAGAGUUCUGUGGCAUUUUAAAUUUAUUUUAUGUGUUUAUUUGAGGAUGGACCCAAGGGUCGAAUGCAAUGAUUACUUGAUUAUCUUAAGACAGUUUCUCAUUAAGAGGACUGAGGCUAACCUUUGUAGACCAAAGAGGCUUUGAGUAGUUUUUUUGUUUUUUAAUUAAUGAAAUGAUUGUUGAAAUUAAAAAUCUCUAUGGUUCUAAAUGAUAAAGCAGACAUGAUCAAAGAAAACCAAGCUAGGCCAUAUUUCAUGGUGCUUGCCCCUAAUCCCAACACUCAGAAAGCUAAGGCAAGAGAAUUAAGAGUUUGAGGACUGCCUCAAACCUGUGUUAAGUAAAAAAUC